UAAACCGCGUAUGCUUUGUAUUUCUUCUUCUAUUAACCGUAAAAGGUCUAUUUUGUAUUGGAGAUCGUGUGCUAGCCUUGCGUAGGGUGGAGUUUUUUCUUGCAAGUCUUUACGACCGUUUUUAACUCAUUCAGAAGAGAGGAAUAUUGGUCAUCAGUUGUUUUUGUAAGGACCUCAGGAAAAAGUUCUCCAUUACGGCCCUCAGGCUUGUAAAUCACACUAAGGGCAAAAGGGUGCCCAUUGCCAAAUUUUUGAUUCAGCAGAAGACAAUCCUUGAACAGCUACAUUCUGAGCACCCCUUUGAAUGGAGCUCUUAGAGUCUAACAGAAAUAUUACAGCAGAUCACACCACCAUAGUGCUGCGACAGCUGACAUGCGGCUGAUCUCUGUACUUCAUGGAAUCAAACUUAAAACAACUAUUCAACGAAGUGGAGCUGGCUAGUGGUUGAUAAUAAUAUUCCUGCAACGAUUACAAUAUGUUCGGGGGCAAAUCCAGCGCGAGUUGUUGGGAAGUGGCUGGCAAAGGAUAUUCAGCGUUUGAGUUGCCACUCAGAGCUCAUAUUCAUCUUUUUGUACUAUAUUAUGUCAAGCAUUUAAAGAAAGCGACAAAACUUUUAAGUCUGUAAAACAUGUUUCGACAGAAACUUCUGUCAUCUUCAGUUAAUUAAUGUUCAAAGCGUUGGAAGUUGAAUUAUCUAGUGCGUAGAACAAUGCUAAUUAUGAUAAAUAGUGACAACAAUAAAAGAGGUAAAGCAUGAAAGUGUGAGAAUUAAAAGGAUAGUUUUAGAUUUA